GGCUGGGUCUCUCAGUCAACCGAGAAGCCAGCAAACAACCCCAGUGUGUCUGCCUGGAUGAGAAGGGGUGAAGACCUAGAAAGAAUGAGAUCCCCAGCAUUGCCGAGGCUGCUGAGAACCUGGACAUCCAAAUGGAGAUGGGAGGACCACACGGAAUUGAAACAUAAAGGCAGACCUCAUCUGGAAAGUAUGAUAUCAGAAAGGAGGCAAUGCUCGUGCCGCCCAUGGUUCAGAACUGCCUUUGCCAGUUAUAACGACAAGUGAAGUUUCAAGAAAGAACCACCUGGAAUCUGACCCCCAGUGCUAAUGCUGAACUGAUUCGGCAGUUACUUAAAUUCAAAGAGGCCACCCCAAGAGCACUCUUUCAGUUGGAGCAGAGCUACUAGAAAUCACACCAUGAGCGCUUACUGGCCAGGAGAUGGAUCAUCUAAGAUGUUCUCUGUGCCACGGAUCUUGGAGCUGCACCUGCCAUUCUGAUCAUAAAUACGUGUGUCUGUGUGGCAUGGGGGUCUGAGGUUGGCAAAUACAUAGCAACUGCCAUCUGCUAAAGCAGAAAAGAUUUGAAAAGUGGAAAAGGAGAGACACAGCAAUGAAGAUCUCAACUAGUGAAACAAACAGGCUCUUCUGGACAGCACUUCCUCCCUGACAUCACAGUUGUGACCUGC